UGAUUAUCAUGAGGAUAGUUUUUUAGCAUGCCAUUGAAUAUCUCCCAAGCUUGGUAGAGAUUUUCUCCAUCUUUCUGUCUGAAACUCAAGAUUUCACUUCUCAAUCG
rnacentral:snoRNA from 1 species